rnacentral:piRNA from 1 species
UACUUGUCCUCCACGAGCAGGCAAAAGAAU